rnacentral:rRNA from 1 species
UACGUAGGGUGCGAGCGUUAAUCGGAUUUACUGGGCGUAAAGCGUGCGCAGGCGGCCCGUUAAGACAGGUGUGAAAUCCCUGGGCUCAACCUAGGAAUUGCGCUUGUGAAUGGCGGGCUCGAGUACGGUAGAGGGGGGUGGAAUUCCUGGUGUAGCAGUGAAAUGCGUAGAGAUCAGGAGGAACACCGAUGGCGAAGGCAGCCCCCUGGGCCUGUACUGACGCUCAUGCACGAAAGCGUGGGGAGCAAACAGG